rnacentral:rRNA from 1 species
GACGGGGGCCCGCACAAGCGGUGGAGCAUGUGGUUUAAUUCGAUGCAACGCGAAGAACCUUACCUACUCUUGACAUCCACAGAACUUUCCAGAGAUGGAUUGGUGCCUUCGGGAACUGUGAGACAGGUGCUGCAUGGCUGUCGUCAGCUCGUGUUGUGAAAUGUUGGGUUAAGUCCCGCAACGAGUGCAACCCCUAUCCUUAUUUGCCAGCACGUAAUGGUGGGAACUCUAGGGAGACUGCCGGUGAUAAACCGGAGGAAGGUGGGGACGACGUCAAGUCAUCAUGGCCCUUACGAGUAGGGCUACACACGUGCUACAAUGGCGAGUACAGAGGGUUGCAAAGCCGCGAGGUGGAGCUAAUCUCACAAAGCUCGUCGUAGUCCGGAUUGGAGUCUGCAACUCGACUCCAUGAAGUCGGAAUCGCUAGUAAUCGUGGAUCAGAAUGCCACGGUGAAUACGUUCCCGGGCCUUGUACACACCGCCCGUCACACCAUGGGAGUGGGCUGCAAAAGAAGUGGGUAGCUUAACCUUCGGGGGGGCGCUCACCACUUUGUGGUUCAUGACUGGGGUGAAGUCGUAACAAGGUAGCCCUAGGGGAACCUGGGGCUGGAUCACCUCCUUA